rnacentral:tmRNA from 1 species
GGGCUAGUAAUGGUUUCGACGGGGAUCAUGCAGCUGGAGAAGCGAGUCGCAUGCAAUGCGUUAAAUGGCAAACUUAAAUAUAAACGCUGAAGAAAAUUUAGCAUACGCUGCUUAAUUGCGGCAGUCUGACCUAGUGCACCUACACAUUAGGACUCAGGCUUCGACUAUGUAGGAAACGACGUUGGCAAAGCUUUGAGCCAGCGGGCGUAUCAUGAAGCUACUGAAGCUGUCAGGGUGUUUAUCCCCGGGCAGUGGAGGGAAUGUCAAAGGAUAAACUACACUCGUAGAAGGACAGGGAAUUGGUUUUCGGACACGGGUUCGACUCCCGUCUAGUCCAUAG